rnacentral:rRNA from 1 species
UACGUAGGGUGCAAGCGUUAAUCGGAAUUACUGGGCGUAAAGCGUGCGCAGGCGGUUAUGUAAGACAGAUGUGAAAUGCCCGGGCUUAACCUGGGAACUGCAUUUGUGACUGCAUGGCUAGAGUUUGGCAGAGGGGGGUAGAAUUCCACGUGUAGCAGUGAAAUGCGUAGAUAUGUGGAGGAACACCGAUGGCGAAGGCGGGUCUCUGGGCAGUAACUGACGCUGAGAAGCGAAAAGCGUGGGGAGCGAACAGG